UACGGAGGGUGCUAGCGUUGUUCGGAAUCACUGGGCGUAAAGGGCGUGUAGGCGGUCUGUUAAGUCUGAUGUGAAAUCCCCUCGCUCAACGAGGGAACUGCGUCGGAUACUGGCAGACUUGAGUACCGGAGAGGAAGGUGGAAUUCCCGGUGUAGCGGUGAAAUGCGUAGAUAACGGGAGGAACACCGGUGGCGAAGGCGGCCUUCUGGACGGAUACUGACGCUGAGACGCGAAAGCGUGGGGAGCAAACAGG
rnacentral:rRNA from 1 species